UUCCAAUCCAAGAUAAGCAUUUUCUGACGAGGCGAGCAAAGAACUUGAAGAGUCUGUUCCUCCCUGACACUUCUGGGAAUUCCAGCUGUUUUAUGAAUGGAGUUUGCAAUUUAAAAAUGCUAUUUGUUAAAACGGACACGAUGACCUGACACUUGUACCUGAGUAAACUCAUAUGUGGGGGAAAGAAUCAGUCUGAUGCCUUCAAUUUGAUUUGCAAGAACCGCCCCCAGCAAAAACAACCAAUCACAGACAGAAGGUGUGACUGACAAGCUGUCAAUCAUUCCUCGUGCACUCGGCAGGCACGAGUGGCCUCGGUUUGACCUGUUAGCUUGGGUUCAGGAGCCAAAACCACGGCGAAAUCUAAUAAAAACAUGCCCAUCCCGACUAACUUAUUAAUAUUAUUACAUGUGACUGUGUCGGAUCUCCGUUAAAGUCCUGGGAACGUUCAGCAUCGCUCCCGCAGCUUCCUCCGGGGACACAGUCACCACGGUGACAAGCGGCUGUCCUGUGUGGGGACAGCCUCGUGGAGACAGACCUCUGUCAGGGGUGCUGGAUGGAGAGAACCCGGGAAAAAAGGAGUGCGUAGGCGGCACGGCCCACAGAGAAAUCAGCAUCGCCGGAGAUUCGUUUCAGGACGGAAGCGAGCGCAUCAAAGCGCUCCGGGGAGCCGGCGUACGUCCCGGGGAGCCGGCGUACGUCCCGCCUGGACCGACAUUUCUGACUGAUAAAUCAGAGAGAUGCGACGUCUCCGCUGGGUUAUGCGGCGAACACCUCAGUCCCCGGCUUCAAGGGCUGGAGCAGUCAGAGGCGACAGCUUUCAUCCAACAUCAAGCUUAAGUCGAACACCAAACGGGGACGCAGCGAACGCUGCUUGUUCGUCAAAAGGAACCGCCUCACGAAGCUGAGCAACCUGUUGCAAAAGAGUUAACUCCUCUGCUACCAAAAUAAAAAAAAAAAAUCAUCUGUUGCUUUUCAACUAUCACCAUGAAGACGUCUUUUGUCAAUCACAGUUAAUAAACUUUGCACAUAAAAUUGGGACACUUUUCAUUUUUUCCAUCUAAAAUGCUUCACUAAUGUGCUGCUUUCUUACAAAGGGC
rnacentral:lncRNA from 1 species